AAAAAUAUCUCUGUUUGUGUACAACAGUAAAUACUAUAUCUACUCUUAGUUCCAAACAACAAAACUAUCUACACAGCUUUGCCUUCUUCCACAAGGGUUUGCUUGUAGACUGUGAGAAGUUUCGGAGACCAAGCUACUUCUGUUGCUGUUUCCCUUUGUGUCAAAUCCAUUGAACAAACUGAAUCCUUGCGUUUUUUUCUCGGGUUUUGUCGGUAACUUAGACCACACAGCGCUCUUACUAGCUUCGAUAUUCAUUCUAAGAGAUUCUGAGACCAAUCUUGCUCUUGUAGUAGUUAUUGUUGUAUUAGUAUCAUUGAUUCUUCCUUCAGUUUGAUCUCUUGACCGUUUUCCUAAACAUGAUGAAGUCUCUGAGGUAGGGUAUAUCGGAACCGUGCAUCCCCAGUAGAAGGGGACAGGGUAGAAACUAGCGUUAGGACCCGUUGGACUCCAUUGGUAAGGCCAAGGAGAAGAAUUAUUAGGUAACAUUACUUGCGGAGGAAG
rnacentral:lncRNA from 1 species